AAAUGUCUGUCUCCCUCCACUAGGCUGAGAGCUUCACGCGAGUUUUCUCUUGUUUGUGGCUGUAUCCACAGAGCCUGAGACCUAGCAAAUAGUUGAUGGCGAGAUUUUACAAAAUUGAAGACAGAACCCUCCACCAACAGAAAGAUUACAGUUUGCUUUAUUGUGAUACUCGCUUUGUUGCGGUGUUCUGGGAUUGAACUCGCAGUAUCUGGACAGGUCUGGGUAGUUUAUAGAGGACUUUCAUGAUUUUUCUCUCUCUCACAAGAAGAGAAAGUAAACAAGCCAGGGCUUAUACCCCAUGUGUUAUACAUGAGCAAACUGAGGCUCAGGGAAACGCCAGGCUUGUACGUGUGAGCAGCUGGAGCCCUCCAACCCCACUUUGGAUGUGUCAGGAGUGCGCUUACCAACCAGCGCCCUUCAGAAGAGUUGGGCUUCGGUCUCAGUGGGAGUUACAGGUCUUCUGGAGAUCUCCGAAAGCUGCAGGGAUUCUGCCUGCGACUCCUGCCUCCCACUGUGCCUCCCACUGGGGCCGUAUCCCAGUGUACUGGUUUUUAAUUACGGAGAAUUUCAACCUCGGGGCUGCCAUGAACAGCCACUGAGGCUGUCUAUUGUACAACUCCAGGGGACAGACAUCCAUUCACCAUGGCGGCAAUGCAUCACUAAGAGGCCGCCCCUGCCCCGGCUUUGGCAGUGAUGGGUUGGCAGGGCCCACACUCGGAUAUCACGCCUCAAGCCCCAGCCUCCCUUGCAAGCCCUCUGCGUGUCCCUGGGUGAGAGAGAACCUCUGGAAGGACUUGAGGGGCGACCAGGUGCUUCCCAUCUUGACCUUGAAAAUUUUGCUCAACCUCUUUGAGCUUCAUUUGCCUCGUCUGUAGAGUGGAAAUGGGUUCUAUUUCCAGGAUAUUGAGAGGAUCACAUGGAACAUUUUAUGGCCGGUUGCAGGUACUCAACGUAUGGGAACUACAUUAAGGUCUCACUGAAUGUCAUUGAUAAGUUCUGAAACUUUAAGUGCAACAACAUAUAACACAAGCACUUUUAGCACAGGCUGAUUGAUAUACAUAAGAGCUAAGUUCCUAAGCAUCCCAUCAAUGUUAUAACAAAACAACGUUAUUGGAGGACCUGCUGGGUUAGGCUUGUUCCCGUGGCCACUGGCUGCUAUUCUUCUUCGUCUUUUUCAGUGCAUGAUGCCAGUCCAUCACACCACGUCGUCCCUGUCACCACCACCCUCUAUCACCCACGCCCUGUGGCCUGGAUUUCCUUGGAGACAAUACAGACUAGCAGUUAAGCAGAAGGCUCUGAAGGCUCACGAUCUGGGUUCAGGUCCUUACCUCUACCACUUCCUGUGCAGCUUUGGUCCAAGUCCUUAGCUCGUGCACUGCAGAUUCGUGGUGCUCACCACUACCUGUCCCAGCCCCCUGGUAUUGAUUGGAGCUGAGUGACUAACAGGGAAAUGGGGGCAGGGUAAUGUAUGUGUCAUUCCAGACCAAGGCAGUUAAGAGGCUGUGGAUCUCCUCCAUCUCUUUCUUGCCCUGCCACGGUGACCUGGGUGUGGCCACAGGGACAUGUGUUUCACAUAGUGUAGCUCUAAGAUGGAAAUGCCCUGGGACCCCAAGUCACCCUUGGAGGAAAGCCAUCCCACCAGCACUGCACUCACUAGGUGGGAGCAAGAAGUCACUGAGAUUCCAGGAUUUGUUUCUACCAUAAUGCUAUAACCUAGUACUGUUACUUCACUGGUAGAGUUUCCUGUGCCUCAAUGUUCUCAUCAAUGAAAUGGGGACAAUAAUGAUAUCACUCUCAUAGAGUUGUUGUGAGGAUUAAAUGAGAUCAUGAAUACAACCCUCUUAAGAUGUAAAAUCUUAGUUUUUAUUACUUCCAUAGGAAGAUAUGAAAAGCAUGAAACGACCUUAGACUGUCAGACAUAAUCACACAAACUGAAACGUUCUUCUUUGCAUGGUUAUACGUAUAGACUACACCAGAAUUGAAAAUGGAAUAGCUUUCUCACUACCGUAUGUGAUUCAAAGAGAUGACCUAAAGAAGGUUUGCAUCCUGCAGGAAGUAACUUGCAGACUAAACCACACUGGAGCCUCCAUCCUCUGAAGACUGUGACCAAAAUGGGAACAGCUCUUUUCUGCGAUGGUUUGACUGCCCUAAGGUCCAGAGGUGGGAGA